AUUCCACUUGAAAGGAAUCAAUUUACAGAGAAGAUUAGCAUGGCCCCUGCAUGAGGAUGACACACAAAUUUGUGAGGCGCUCCAUAUUUUA
ensembl:snRNA U6 U6 spliceosomal RNA